rnacentral:rRNA from 1 species
AAUAGAUACCCUGGUAGUCCACGCCGUAAACGAUGAGUGCUAAGUGUUGGAGGGUUUCCGCCCUUCAGUGCUGCAGCUAACGCAUUAAGCACUCCGCCUGGGGAGUACGGUCGCAAGACUGAAACUCAAAGGAAUUGACGGGGGCCCGCACAAGCGGUGGAGCAUGUGGUUUAAUUCGAAGCAACGCGAAGAACCUUACCAGGUCUUGACAUCUCCUGACCGCCCUGGAGACAGGGUCUUCCCUUCGGGGACAGGAUGACAGGUGGUGCAUGGUUGUCGUCAGCUCGUGUCGUGAGAUGUUGGGUUAAGUCCCGCAACGAGCGCAACCCUUGGUUCUAGUUGCCAGCAUUCAGUUGGGCACUCUAGAGCGACUGCCGGCGACAAGUCGGAAGAAGGUGGGGAUGACGUCAAAUCAUCAUGCCCCUUAUGACCUGGGCUACACACGUGCUACAAUGGAUGGUACAAAGGGCAGCGAAGCGGCGACGCAUGAGCGAAUCCCAGAAAACCAUUCUCAGUUCGG